GCCAGAAUAAAAUGAACAGUUUCGUUUAUUUGACGGUUUGUGGUUAGAGCUCGAAGAUUUUGAACAAUUGGUUCAACACUUUCGGAUGCAAGCUGUGAAUUUGUGAUUACCAUUCCACAACACUCUCAAAGGUAUGGACACUUUAAUGGUUUUCUAAUCAUUAGAGGAAAAGGAAAGCCCAGCGAUCAAGCACCCCCACCCCAAAAGCUGAGACCGGAGAACUGCCAGGCGACGAGUCUGCUGGUAAAGGAGGGCUGGCAUCCUGUUUGAUCGCUUAACACAAUCAUGGCCUCAAUACCCAUUCUUAAUGAACGUUGUGGCUUUACACUUGAAACCGACUGCAAGGUACAAUGACCCGUGCAAAGAUUUCUGAAAUUAAUGCCUGCAAUGACACUGAUCUUCUUGAUGCACGACCCAUGAAGAUAUGGUUUUCUUAUGUUAUGAUCGAAAUAAUAAUGAAUACUGCUAUCUUUUGGUUGAUAAACAUGUACACUUAAAAAAUUACAACACCGUUCUCAUAUUAUGUUGGAAAAGAAGAUAAGAUUCCAGGCGUACUCACCCAAACCAACCAAGGGCUGACUAGAAUAAGACUUCAAGAUCAAAGUGUGAACACACUUCGACUUUGCAGCAGGUUGGAGUUCUUCGUUUCGCUUACAAAAGUUGUGAGUUGCGAGCAAGUCUCUCUGCAAUUAAAUUUAACAGUAUAGAUACCAUGACGAACCAAAUUAGUACCGAUCAAAUGCCUGUCGCAAAGAAUGAUUUGGUUUAACGUGAUCGUGUUCUGAGUUGUGUUGUAAAAUGUACAUGUUAUCAUAACAAGGAUGUUUUGGUUGAGUGCGCCGCAACGCGGCGUUGUGUAUAAAUUUAUUAUAAAAACAACAUUGAGUGUCUCUUUUAUAGUUGUCUUUUUUCAGUUACAUUUACUGUAAAAACAAAAUUUGUGUGCUAUAUAUCUGUGUUCAUUUGA